rnacentral:ncRNA from 2 species
GCCAUAUAUGGGCGUCACGGUCUUUUCGUUUCUACAUGUUGUAGCGAUGAAGGGCUAAGAGGGAAUCCGGUGCGUCCUUAGGGAUUAAGCCGGGGCUGCCCCCGCAACUGUAAGCGGCGAGCGCUUGACACAUGACCUUCGGUCAUGAAGCCACUGAGGCCUUCGCGCCUCGGGAAGGCAUGUCGAUCGCAGCGACCCGCGAGCCAGGAGACCUGCCGUGACCGCUGAAAUCGU